rnacentral:rRNA from 1 species
GCUAACGAGGGGCCAGCGGCGGCGGUAAUACGGAGGUGGCGAGCGUGGUGCGGAGUUAUUGGGCGUAAAGAGCCCGCAGGCGGUUCAGGAAGUUGCAGGGGAAAUCUCCCGGCUCAACUGGGAGGGUGCCUGGAAAACUGCUGGACUUGAGGCAGGGAGAGGGAUGUGGAAUUCCCGGUGUAGUGGUGAAAUGCGUAGAUAUCGGGAGGAACACCAGUGGCGAAGGCGGCAUCCUGGCCCUGUCCUGACGCUCAGGGGCGAAAGCGUGGGGAGCAAACCGGAUUAGAUACCCGGGUAGUC